GGCAGUGAGGUGUAGUGGUUGGAGUGUUGGACUAUGCCUCUGGAGACCAGGGUUCGAAUCCCGGCUGGGCCA